UACAGAGGGUGCAAGCGUUGUUCGGAAUUAUUGGGCGUAAAGGGUGCGUAGGCGGUGCGGUAAGUCACCUGUGAAAUCUCCAAGCUUAACUUGGAGCCUGCAGGCGAAACUGCCGUACUGGAGUAUGGGAGAGGUGCGUGGAAUUGCAGGUGUAGCGGUGAAAUGCGUAGAUAUCUGCAGGAACACCCGUGGCGAAAGCGGCGCGCUGGACCACUACUGACGCUGAGGAACGAAAGCUAGGGGAGCAAACAG
rnacentral:rRNA from 1 species